GUUAAAGACAACCUACUGCGAAAGCAUUGCCAAGGAUGUUUUUCAUUGAUCAAGAACGAAAGUUAGGGGAUCGAAGACGAUUCAGAUACCGUCUUAGUCUUAACCAUAAACUAUGCCAGCUAGGAAUCAGAGUUUAUUAUUAUGUGAUCUCUUUGGUGCCUUAUGGGAAACCAAAGUCUUUGGGCUCUGGGGGGAGUAUGGUCGCAAGUCUGAAACUUAAAGGAAUUGACGGAAGGGCACCACCAGGAGUGGAGCCUGCGGCUUAAUUUGACUCAACACGGGGAAACUUACCAGGUCCAGACACAAUAAGGAUUGACAGAUUGAUAGCUCUUUCUUGAUUUUGUGGGUGGUGGUGCAUGGCCGUUCUUAGUUGGUGGAGUGAUCUGUCUGGUUAAUUCCGUUAACGAACGAGACCUUAACCUGUUAAGUAGUUGCAUGUAACCUGUGUUAUGUGGAUAACUUCUUAGAGGGACCUUGUGUGCAUAAUGCAAGGAAGUUUGAGGCAAUAACAGGUCUGUGAUGCCCUUAGAUGUUCUGGGCUGCACGCGCGCUACACUGAUGUGCUCAACAAGUGUCCCUUGCUUGGAAAAGUUGGGCAAUCCUACAAGCCAUAUCGUGAUGGGGAUCGAUUCUUGCAAUUAUUAAUCUUUAACGAGGAAUUCCUAGUAGACGUGAUUCAUCAGACCGCGUUGAUUAUGUCCCUGCCCUUUGUACACACCGCCCGUCGCUCCUACCGAUUGAAUGAUCCGGUAAAUAUGUUGGACCAUCAGUGCAUGCACUAUGUGCUGCUCUUAGUGCAUGCACUAUGUGCUGCUCUGCUGGAAAGUUUUAUGAACCUUAUUAUUUAGAGGAAGGAGAAGUCGUAACAAGGUUUCCG
rnacentral:rRNA from 1 species